GGAUACCUGAGGUGUACGAGAGCCGCCUUCGUUAUUUUGAGCCAACACUUUGAAUACGGGAGACCGAACUGCUAACCGGAUCAACUGCCUCAUCACGUGCAGGAGGACUUGUGAAGGAAACGCUAGGUCACCCACCUGCAUACGCAGGUUCAAAAGCAAGGCAUCGUCACGGCACUCCGGGCCCCAU
rfam:Exiguobacterium sp. AT1b, complete genome.